rnacentral:rRNA from 1 species
UACGGAGGGUGCAAGCGUUAUCCGGAAUCAUUGGGUUUAAAGGGUCCGCAGGCGGACUUAUAAGUCAGUGGUGAAAGCCUACAGCUUAACUGUAGAACUGCCAUUGAUACUGUAAGUCUUGAAUUCGGUCGAAGUGGGCGGAAUGUGUAGUGUAGCGGUGAAAUGCUUAGAUAUUACACAGAACACCGAUAGCGAAGGCAGCUCACUAGGCCUGGAUUGACGCUCAGGGACGAAAGCGUGGGGAUCAAACAGG